GUGCCAGCCGCCGCGGUAAUACAGAGGUGGCAAGCGUUAAUCGGAAUUACUGGGCGUAAAGCGUGCGCAGGCUGUUGUGCAAGACGGAUGUGAAAUCCCCGGGCUUAACCUGGGAAUGGCAUUUGUGACUGCACGGCUAGAGUGUGUCAGAGGGGGGUAGAAUUCCACGUGUAGCAGUGAAAUGCGUAGAUAUGUGGAGGAAUACCGAUGGCGAAGGCAGGUCUCUGGGCUGACACUGACGCUCAUGCACGAAAGCGUGGGGAGCAAACAGGAUUAGAUACCCCUGUAGUCC
rnacentral:rRNA from 1 species